rnacentral:rRNA from 1 species
CCUACGGUGGGCAGCAGUGGGGAAUAUUUGGCAAUGGGCGCAAGCCUGACCCAGCAACGCCGCGUGAAGGAAGAAGGCGUUCGGGUUGUAAACUUCUUUUCUCAGGGACGAAGCAAGUGACGGUACCUGAGGACUAAGCCACGGCUAACUACGUGCCAGCAGCCGCGGUACUACGUAGGUGGCAAGCGUUCUCCGGAUUUAAGGGGUGUAAAGGGCGUGUAGGCGGGGAAGCAAGUCAGAUGGGAAAACCACGGGCUCAACCUGUGGCCUGCAUUUGAGACUGUGUUUCUUGAGUACUGGAGAGGCAGACGGAAUUCCUAGUGUAGCGGUGAAAUGCGUAGAUAUUAGGAGGAACACCAGUGGCGAAGGCGGUCUGCUGGACAGCAACUGACGCUGAGGCGCGAAAGCGUGGGGAGCAAACAGGAUUAGAUACCCGAGUAGUC